AGAACGAACGCUGGCGGCGUGGAUAAGACAUGCAAGUCGAACGGGACAACAUUUGUAGCAAUACAGGUGUUGUUUAGUGGCGAACGGGUGCGUAACACGUGGGCAAUCUGCCGAGAAGUGGGGGAUAGCUCGCCGAAAGGCGAAUUAAUACCGCAUAUGAUCAGGGACGACAUCUUCCCAACAUCAAAGCCGGGGCAACCUGGCGCUUCUUGAUGAGCCCGCGGCCUAUCAGCUAGUUGGUGAGGUAACGGCUCACCAAGGCUAUGACGGGUAGCUGGUCUGAGAGGACGACCAGCCACACUGGAACUGAGACACGGUCCAGACUCUACGGGAGCAGCAGUGGGAAUUUGGACAAUGGCGCAAGCCUGAUCCAGCCAUGCCGCGUGAGUGAAGAAGGCCUUCGGGUGU
rnacentral:rRNA from 1 species